rnacentral:rRNA from 1 species
UACGGGGGGAGCAAGCGUUGUUCGGAUUUACUGGGCGUAAAGGGCGCGUAGGCGGCCACCGCAAGUCAAUUGUGAAAUCUCCGGGCUUAACUCGGAACGGUCAACUGAUACUGCGGGGCUAGAGUGCGGAAGGGGCAACUGGAAUUCUCGGUGUAGCGGUGAAAUGCGUAGAUAUCGAGAGGAACACCUGCGGCGAAGGCGGGUUGCUGGGCCGACACUGACGCUGAUGCGCGAAAGCCAGGGGAGCGAACGGG